GACGAACGCUGGCGGCGUGCUUAACACAUGCAAGUCGAACGGAAAGGCCCUGCUUUUGUGGGGUGCUCGAGUGGCGAACGGGGGAGUAACACGUGAGUAAGCUGCCCUUGACUGUGGGAUAACUUCAGGAAACUGGGGCUAAUACCGUAGAGGAGCUCCUGCUGCAAGGUGGGGGUUGGAAAGAUUGCGCGGUUGGGGAUGGACUCGCGGCGGAUCGGCUUGUUGGUGGGGGGGCGGCUUACGAAGGCUUUGACGGGUGGCCGGCCUGAGAGGGUGACCGGCCACAUUGGGACUGAGAUACCGCCCAGACUCCUACGGGAGGCAGCAGUGGGGGAUAUUGCACCAUGGGCGGAAGCCUGAUGCAGCAACGCCGCGUGCGCGAUAACGGCCUUCGGGUUGUAAACCGCUUUCGCCUGUGACGAAGCGUGAGUGACGGUAAUGGGUAAAGAAGCACCGGCUAACUACGUG
rnacentral:rRNA from 1 species